CAUGAUUUGUUGGGCUAUCCAUGGACGGCCCAUACGCCCAUUUAAUGUAAACAACAUAAUUUCAGUUUUAAAAAUUUAAAGAUUAUUAAGUUUUCAAUUUUAAAGAUGUCACAUACUUAAACUUUAAGUUUUAAACUUCAUGUUUCAAAGUUAUAAAAAAUUCAAGAUAAGUUUAAAAAAUUCGUAAUUUCGUCUGACUUGCGGAAACAGAAACAGUCGCCAGACUCGCCACCAACUUCGUUAUGAACACAAAUCACCGAUCUAUUUAACACAUAAACCAUAACACAAUAUUAGUAGAUGAUACGAAUCAGUAGCUAAUAGUGAAAACCCAUAACACAAAUCACGAAAAAUCAAAUCUUAAGAGAUGAUGAAAUCAGAAGUUGGUGAAGAAUCGAAAAAAAAUUGAAGAAGAACGAAGACGAGGAAGAAGAAUCGAACACGAAGAGGAAGAAUCGAAGACGAGGACUCGAAGAGGAAAAAUCGAAGACGAUGAUUCGAAGAGGAAGAAUCAAACACGAAGAAAAAACACAAGAGUGAGACGGGAAGAAAAAAAAAGGUGAUUUGUGUUUUCUCCCAAUUUUUCAAACCCUAGACAUUUAAGUUUAUUGGGCCGCCCAUUGUCCAAGUGGUUAAGCCCAAUAUUGUCCAUGAAUAUAAUUGGGUUCACCCAUCUGGACAAAUUUUAAUUAUGGUUUAAUCUGGGUCUGUCCAUUUUGGACCAUAUCGAUUUGGACACGGGCCACCCAUUUAUAGCCCGCCCAUUUGACAUCUCUA
rnacentral:lncRNA from 1 species